rnacentral:tRNA from 1 species
UCCCUGAUAGCUCAGUUGGUAAAGAAUCUGCCUGCAAUGCGGGAGACCUGGGUUCAAUUCCUGGGUUGGGAA